rnacentral:misc_RNA from 1 species
AAUACAUUAAGUUCCAAAUAUCAGAGACGAUAAUAAGAAAAACAUUUCAACUAAAUAUAUCACAGACAAAGAGGCCAUACCCUGAAACGCAAUUUCUACUUUCAGGCCAAAAACAGGUCAUAUAUAUGUAGCAAAGUAUAUUGAAGUUGAAUGCUAAGAUCUUAUUCAAUUAGAUAUUGCGUUUCGUAGAACAGAUUUUAUAUUAGAUUAGAUUAGUUUACGUAGAUGUCUAUGGAGGGUAAUUAUUAAAUGGCUUCUAUAUACAGCCAUUUAAGCUAGGCGGAGUUCAUGGGAUCCAAACCCUCCUCCAUGGUGAAGGUUAGUCCCCAGAUGGCCGUGGUGCAGCCGGAAAGCA